AUUGAACGCUAGCGGGAUGCUUUACACAUGCAAGUCGAACGGAGUGGCGGACGGGUGAGUAAUGUAUCGGAAUGUGCCCAGUAGCGGGGGAUAACUACUCGAAAGAGUGGCUAAUACCGCAUACUCUUGGAGCGGCCGAUAUCGGAUUAGCUAGUUGGUGGGGUAAAGGCUCACCAAGGCAACGAUCCGUAGCUGGUUUGAGAGGACGACCAGCCACACGGGGACUGAGGCACGGCCCAGACUCCUACGGGAGGCAGCAGUGGGGAAUGUUGGACAAUGGGGGAAAGCCUGAUGCAGCCAUCCCGCGUGGAUGAUGAAGGCCUUCGGGUUGUAAAGUACUUUUGGCAGGGAGGCGGUAUCGGCAGAAUAAGCACCGGCUAACUACGUGCCAGCAGCCGCGGUAAUUC
rnacentral:rRNA from 1 species